rnacentral:rRNA from 1 species
GGCGGCAGGCUUAACACAUGCAAGUCGAACGAAGUUAGGAAGCUUGCUUCUGAUACUUAGUGGCGGACGGGUGAGUAAUGCUUAGGAAUCUGCCUAGUAGUGGGGGAUAACUUGGGGAAACCCAAGCUAAUACCGCAUACGACCUACGGGUGAAAGGGGGCUUUUAGCUCUCGCUAUUAGAUGAGCCUAAGUCGGAUUAGCUGGUUGGUGGGGUAAAGGCCUACCAAGGCGACGAUCUGUAGCUGGUCUGAGAGGAUGAUCAGCCACACUGGGACUGAGACACGGCCCAGACUCCUACGGGAGGCAGCAGUGGGGAAUAUUGGACAAUGGGCGAAAGCCUGAUCCAGCCAUGCCGCGUGUGUGAAGAAGGCCUUUUGGUUGUAAAGCACUUUAAGUGGGGAGGAAAAGCUUAUGGUUAAUACCCAUAAGCCCUGACGUUACCCACAGAAUAAGCACCGGCUAACUCUGUGCCAGCAGCCGCGGUAAUACAGAGGGUGCAAGCGUUAAUCGGAAUUACUGGGCGUAAAGCGCGCGUAGGUGGUUAUUUAAGUCAGAUGUGAAAGCCCCGGGCUUAACCUGGGAACUGCAUCUGAUACUGGAUAACUAGAGUAGGUGAGAGGGGAGUAGAAUUCCAGGUGUAGCGGUGAAAUGCGUAGAGAUCUGGAGGAAUACCGAUGGCGAAGGCAGCUCCCUGGCAUCAUGCUGACACUGAGGUGC